UACGUAGGGUGCGAGCGUUUGUCCGGAAUUAUUGGGCGUAAAGAGCUUGUAGGCGGUCUGUCGCGUCUGCUGUGAAAAUCCGGGGCUCAACCCCGGACUUGCAGUGGGUACGGGCAGACUAGAGUGUGGUAGGGGGAGACUGGAAUUCCUGGUGUAGCGGUGAAAUGCGCAGAUAUCAGGAAGAACACCCGUGGCGAAGGCGGCUCUCUGGGGACGGUACUGACGCUGAGACGCGAAAGCGUGGGGAGCGAACAGG
rnacentral:rRNA from 1 species